GAAAGUAGCUUGCUACUGUUGCUGACGAGCGGCGGACGGGUGAGUAAUGCUUGGGAACAUGCCUUGAGGUGGGGGACAACAGUUGGAAACGACUGCUAAUACCGCAUAAUGUCUACGGACCAAAGGGGGCUUCGGCUCUCGCCUUUAGAUUGGCCCAAGUGGGAUUAGCUAGUUGGUGAGGUAAUGGCUCACCAAGGCAACGAUCCCUACCUGGUUUGAGAGGAUGAUCAGCCACACUGGAACUGACACACGGUCCAGACUCCUACGGGAGGCAGCAGUGGGGAAUAUUGCACAAUGGGCGAAAGCCUGAUGCAGCCAUGCCGCGUGUGUGAAGAAGGCCUUCGGGUUGUAAAGCACUUUCAGUCAGGAGGAAAGGGUGUGAGUUAAUACCUCAUAUCUGUGACGUUACUGACACAAGAAGCACCGGCUAACUCCGUGCCAGCAGCCGCGGUAAUACGGAGGGUGCGAGCGUUAAUCGGAAUUACCGGGCGUAAAGCGUACGCAGGCGGUUUGUUAAGCGAGAUGUGAAAGCCCCGGGCUCAACCUGGGAACUGCAUUUCGAACUGGCAAACUAGAGUGUGAUAGAGGGUGGUAGAAUUACUUGUGUAGCGGUAAAAUGCGUAGAGAUCUGAAGGAAUACCGAUGGCUAACGCAGCCACCUGCGUCAACACUGACGCUCAUGUACGAAAGCGUGGGGGAGCAAACGGGAUGAGAUACACCGGUAGUCCACGCAGUAUACGAUGUCUACUAGAAUUCUCGGAACCUCGGUCCUGUUUUGCAAAGCUAACGCAUUUAUGUAG
rnacentral:rRNA from 1 species